rnacentral:rRNA from 1 species
UACAGAGGUCUCAAGCGUUGUUCGGAUUCAUUGGGCGUAAAGGGUGCGUAGGCGGCGCGGUAAGUCGGAUGUGAAAUCUCGGAGCUUAACUCCGAAACUGCAUUCGAUACUGCCGUGCUUGAGGACUGGAGAGGAGACUGGAAUUUACGGUGUAGCGGUGAAAUGCGUAGAUAUCGUAAGGAAGACCAGUGGCGAAGGCGAGUCUCUGGACAGCAACUGACGCUGAGGCACGAAGGCCAGGGGAGCAAACGGG